rnacentral:rRNA from 1 species
GACGAACGCUGGCGCCGUGCUUAACACAUGCAAGUCGAACGAUGAAGUUCCUUCGGGAAUGGAUUAGUGGCGAACGGGUGAGGAACACGUGAGAAACCUGCCUUUCAUUUUGGGAUAACUCCGGGAAACCGGGGCUAACACCGAAUACUCCGUCUCGGCGGCAUCGCUGAGCCGGGAAAAAAUUUUGAUGAAAGAUGGUCUCGCGGCCUAUCAGCUAGUUGGUGAGGUAAUGGCUCACCAAGGCAACGACGGGUAGCCGGCCUGAGAGGGCGACCGGCCACACUGGGACUGAGACACGGCCCAGACUCCUACGGGAGGCAGCAGUGGGGAAUAUUGGGCAAUGGGCGCAAGCCUGACCCAGCGACGCCGCGUGAGGGAUGAAGGCCUUCGGGUUGUAAACCUCUUUCAGUAGGGAGGAAGCGAAAGUGACGGUACCUAAAGAAGAAGCACCGGCUAACUAUGUGCCAGCAGCCGCCGCGG